UGGGGUAUGGUGUAAAGGUAGCACAAAGGCCUCUGACUCCUUCGGUGUUGGUUCGAUUCCGACUAUCCCUG
rnacentral:tRNA from 1 species